rnacentral:rRNA from 3 species
GGCGAACGGGUGAGUAACACGUGAGUAAUCUGCCCCAGGCUCUGGGAUAGCCACCGGAAACGGUGAUUAAUACCGGAUACGACAACCGAUUGCAUGAUCUGGUUGUGGAAAGUUUUUCGGCCUGGGAUGUGCUCGCGGCCUAUCAGCUUGUUGGUGAGGUAAUGGCUCACCAAGGCUUCGACGGGUAGCCGGCCUGAGAGGGUGACCGGCCACACUGGGACUGAGACACGGCCCAGACUCCUACGGGAGGCAGCAGUGGGGAAUAUUGGACAAUGGGCGGAAGCCUGAUCCAGCAACGCCGCGUGAGGGAUGACGGCCUUCGGGUUGUAAACCUCUUUCAGCACAGACGAAGCGCAAGUGACGGUAUGUGCAGAAGAAGGACCGGCCAACUACGUGCCAGCAGCCGCGGUAAUACGUAGGGUCCGAGCGUUGUCCGGAAUUAUUGGGCGUAAAGGGCUCGUAGGCGGUCUGUCGCGUCGGGAGUGAAAACCAGGUGCUUAACACCUGGCCUGCUUUCGAUACGGGCAGACUAGAGGUACUCAGGGGAGAAUGGAAUUCCUGGUGUAGCGGUGAAAUGCGCAGAUAUCAGGAGGAACACCGGUGGCGAAGGCGGUUCUCUGGGAGUAUCCUGACGCUGAGGAGCGAAAGUGUGGGGAGCGAACAGGAUUAGAUACCCUGGUAGUCCACACCGUAAACGUUGGGCGCUAGGUGUGGGAUCCAUUCCACGGGUUCCGUGCCGCAGCUAACGCAUUAAGCGCCCCGCC